CCACAUCACCGGCGACCUAGAUCGCCUCCACAUCCGCGACGGCUACAACGGUACCGAUCGCGUGCAGGUCGGCAACGGCGCAGGAUCUGGUGUCGAGGAGAACGCUGCUUCGCGGCAGGUGUAGGGGAGGCCUCUAUCCGAUUGAGGCACAAGAAAUAAGCGCCCUCAAGUGUGCCAUGUUCACCGCUAGGAUUAGCAAAGAGCAAUGGCAUCGGCGCCUAGGACAUCCAUCAUCUCAAGUAGUUCAAUCCAUUUUGAGACUUUACAAUUUAUCGUUUUGUAAUAAUUCUGAGCAUGCAAAUAUUUGCAAUGCCUGUCAACUUGCUAAGAGCCAUCAGCUUUCUUAUUCUCUUUCGAGACAUGUGUCCACUUCUCCACUUGAGCUCAUUUAUACUGA